rnacentral:sRNA from 1 species
GACACAACUGUGUAUUCAAAGAAACCAGAAAUUUCCACUUCAUAACAUGCUUAAUUGGCACACUUCAUAAUUUAGUGAAGGGUCACAGACAUACAGGUACUGUGUCACAAUAGCCUUGGUUGAUUUUGUUUCUGAAGUAAUCAGUAUCAUCAGUGCAUGGUUAGCACUCAUCUCUCAUAAUCAACUCUUUCUUAGAAUGCCUUUUGGGUGGAAUAUCCUUGACAGGCUCCUUUUUCUGUCUCCUUUUAGCUUUUGUUAGCUUCCUUGCUUCAGAAAGGUUGGUAUAAGAGGUAUGAAGCUCUGCUGUUACAAAUUCCUAGACUGUCCUAUCCAAUUAGUGAGCUUUGCCUGCACUCCCCGACACUGCAUCUUCAAAAUGAAACUCUCUUUGAAUCCCUCCCAUCUUUUGGCACACUGCAUGUCUUUAUUGGUACUCAGACUGCUUCAAGAAGGAACAUGUUAAUUCCUUAAAUAGGAUAACAGCUUUUUGAAAUUUGAGUCUUAAAGAAAAUGGGGAUAUGAAUGGGAGAUCUUAGAGGCAGGUCAGCUUGGAGUCUGGAUUUAGAACAUAAUCAACAGGAUCUCAUUUAUGUUUCCAAAUGGCUCCAGAGGAAGGCAUGUUCCAUCCAAGACCAGCAGGGCUUGUGGAGGACAACUGAGAACAUUAUUCUCAUGUUCCUUUUGACAGAGAAAAGACACUAUUAUUCAGCUCACAUUCAAUGUCUCAAAAUUGCCCAUAAUUCCAUAGUUCUUCUUGUCAAAGACCUACUCUAAAGCCUAAACAGGAAGCUAGACUAGUGGAUGAGGAAAGUUUUAUAAAACAAUGGAGGAUAUGUCUGAGAGCCUAGGAAGAGAAGGAAUGACUCAGGCAAGUCUUGCUCAGAGCUAAGUUGUGUUAAGCAGUCAAGCCAUGAAAAACUACAUGUGAAGACUAAUCUUGGUAGUCAACUACAUUUGGAAGUAACUAAAACUCAAGGAACUAAGUGAAUCUGUGAGGGAUUUUUCUUGGUUGGAUUAUUUGAAGUGGGAGACCUACUCUAAAUUUGGACCAUCUGAGGUCAGAAGAUUCACCUUAAAUUUGGCCCACAUACAAGGACAUAGAAGGAAGCUUGUUGUGUCUGUCUGAUUGUCUUUCCUUUAACUGGCAAAUUCAUCUCUCCUGAGGCAAUCCUUCACUGUGUUGGAACCUACUUCUUUGGGAUUCUAACAGAGACUGAAAACUGGCAGCUGACUAGGACAUCCCUGGGAAGCCAGCAUCCAAACUAAGAAUGGACUGAAGACCUACUAGAUCCUGAGCCUUUCCCACGGGAGACAUCCCUCUGACAUCCCCCACCAUGUGUGAGAUGAAGAGUUAAACUCUUGCAAUGUAGCCCUAGGUCACCUGUACCUGGAGUGCAUGAUCUUCCUGCCUUUGCUUCUGGAGUUCUGAAAUGACAAGUGUACACUACCACAUCUGCUCUGGACUCCAUUGCUUAUGGUCUUUUUGUUUCUAACAAAAGGUUCUUUUGACUGCACAGUCAACUUUGUUUUUGAAACCCUUUCCUUCUGAUAAAUACUCACAUUGUGUUUACCAAAACUUAUCAUUUAAUGCAUUUCACAAGCUAAUUAAACUCUCAAGCAAUAAAUUGCACCCUCCGGCCAAUGGGGGCAUCUACCUUGUGUGGAUUGUCCAGGACCUUAUCUUAUAGGACACAUUCCACCUGAGAGCUGAGUAUCAAGGAAAUGAGGCUGGAGGAGAGAGUCAUAACAGAUGAAGUAGGGAAGCAAUCCACAGAUGGGUACAGCCAUAUCCACACUGAGGUGCUCCUCAUUUACGUGAAUCCAUGAAUUUCUUCUUCUCUAAACACCUUCUUACCAUUUAUUGUCAAGAGCUUCCAC